GCCCGGGGUUGGUGACACAUCCCUUGUCCCUUCCGUGCCCAGGUGUUGCUCUGCCCCCUGAGGUAUCCCAGCCGUAGGAACACGAAGGGAUCAGAGGGAUGGACAUGGAAGUUCGGUGAAGUUCAGAACUGAUCACCAGGACAUUUCAGCUUCCUGGAGAAGAGCAUUCGUAGCCAUAUUCCAGUGGGUACUCUAAGAAAAGGACAAGCACCAUGUUGGUCUGUUUGAUACCAGCACUGAUGCACCAUGAGUGGCCAAAGGUUGGACUCGGUGAUCUUGGAGAUCUUUUUGAAAGCAAAGCUGCCACAAAGAAAGGCAGAACUUGCAGCUGGAGCUGCGAGCCUGUGCUGCUCCUCACCCUGCUGCAGAACUGGAUGCAGAGUGAACCUUUUGGCCUGUGAAAGCCAAAGCUGGUCCCUUUGCAGUUGUCUGAG
rnacentral:lncRNA from 1 species